UGCAGUCGAACGAUGAUCCCAGCUUGCUGGGGGAUUAGUGGCGAACGGGUGAGUAACACGUGAGUAACCUGCCCUUGACUCUGGGAUAAGCCUGGGAAACUGGGUCUAAUACCGGAUACGACCAUCUGGCGCAUGUCAUGGUGGUGGAAAGCUUUUGUGGUUUUGGAUGGACUCGCGGCCUAUCAGCUUGUUGGUGGGGUAAUGGCCUACCAAGGCGACGACGGGUAGCCGGCCUGAGAGGGUGACCGGCCACACUGGGACUGAGACACGGCCCAGACUCCUACGGGAGGCAGCAGUGGGGAAUAUUGCACAAUGGGCGCAAGCCUGAUGCAGCGACGCCGCGUGAGGGAUGACGGCCUUCGGGUUGUAAACCUCUUUCAGUAGGGAAGAAGCGAAAGUGACGGUACCUGCAGAAGAAGCGCCGGCUAACUACGUGCCAGCAGCCGCGGUAAUACGUAGGGCGCAAGCGUUAUCCGGAAUUAUUGGGCGUAAAGAGCUCGUAGGCGGUUUGUCGCGUCUGCUGUGAAAGACCGGGGCUCAACUCCGGUUCUGCAGUGGGUACGGGCAGACUAGAGUGCAGUAGGGGAGACUGGAAUUCCUGGUGUAGCGGUGAAAUGCGCAGAUAUCAGGAGGAACACCGAUGGCGAAGGCAGGUCUCUGGGCUGUAACUGACGCUGAGGAGCGAAAGCAUGGGGAGCGAACAGGAUUAGAUACCCUGGUAGUCCAUGCCGUAAACGUUGGGCACUAGGUGUGGGGGACAUUCCACGUUUUCCGCGCCGUAGCUAACGCAUUAAGUGCCCCGCCUGGGGAGUACGGCCGCAAGGCUAAAACUCAAAGGAAUUGACGGGGGCCCGCACAAGCGGCGGAGCAUGCGGAUUAAUUCGAUGCAACGCGAAGAACCUUACCAAGGCUUGACAUGAACCGGAAAGACCUGGAAACAGGUGCCCCGCUUGCGGUCGGUUUACAGGUGGUGCAUGGUUGUCGUCAGCUCGUGUCGUGAGAUGUUGGGUUAAGUCCCGCAACGAGCGCAACCCUCGUUCUAUGUUGCCAGCGCGUUAUGGCGGGGACUCAUAGGAGACUGCCGGGGUC
rnacentral:rRNA from 1 species